rnacentral:rRNA from 1 species
AUUGAACGCUGGCGGCAUGCCUUACACAUGCAAGUCGAACGGCAGCACGGGGCAACCUGGUGGCGAGUGGCGAACGGGUGAGUAAUGCAUCGGAACGUACCUUUCAGUGGGGGAUAACGUAGCGAAAGUUACGCUAAUACCGCAUAUUCUGUAAGCAGGAAAGCAGGGGAUCGCAAGACCUUGCGCUGAUUGAGCGGCCGAUGUCAGAUUAGCUAGUUGGUGAGGUAAAGGCUCACCAAGGCGACGAUCUGUAGCGGGUCUGAGAGGAUGAUCCGCCACACUGGAACUGAGACACGGUCCAGACUCGUACGGGAGGCAGCAGUGGGGAAUUUUGGACAAUGGGGGCAACCCUGAUCCAGCCAUGCCGCGUGAGUGAAGAAGGCCUUCGGGUUGUAAAGCUCUGUCGGCCGGGAAGAAAUCGCACGGGCUAAUACCCUGUGUGGAUGACGGUACCGGAAUAAGAAGCACCGGCUAACUACGUGCCAGCCGCCGCCGUAACAC